rnacentral:rRNA from 1 species
UGGGGAAUAUUGGACAAUGGGCGCAAGCCUGAUGCAGCCAUGCCGCGUGUAUGAAGAAGGCCUUCGGGUUGUAAAGUACUUUCAGCGGGGAGGAAGGGAGUAAAGUUAAUACCUUUGCUCAUUGACGUUACCCGCAGAAGAAGCACCGGCUAACUCCGUGCCAGCAGCCGCGGUAAUACGGAGGGUGCAAGCGUUAAUCGGCAUUACUGGGCGUAAAGCGCACGCAGGCGGUUUGUUAAGUCAGAUGUGAAAUCCCCGGGCUCAACCUGGGAACUGCAUCUGAUACUGGCAAGCUUGAGUCUCGUAGAGGGGGGUAGAAUUCCAGGUGUAGCGGUGAAAUGCGUAGAGAUCUGGAGGAAUACCGGUGGCGAAGGCGGCCCCCUGGACGAAGACUGACGCUCAGGUGCGAAAGCGUGGGGAGCAAACA